ACUCCAUGACGAGAACAUUUCCUAAGCAUCUCCUUGAAUCUUUCCAAAACUUCACUUAAUGUUUCAUCUUUAAACUAUUAAAAAAUAAUAAUUUUAUUGUUGGACC